rnacentral:rRNA from 1 species
UACGGAGGGUGCGAGCGUUGUCCGGAAUCACUGGGCGUAAAGGGCGCGUAGGUGGCGCGGGCAGUCAACGGUGAAAGUUCGGGGCUCAACCCUGAAUCGGCCGUCGAUACUCCCGGGCUUGAGCACUGUAGAGGCAGAUGGAAUUCCGGGUGUAGCGGUGGAAUGCGUAGAGAUCCGGAAGAACACCGGUGGCGAAGGCGGGACUCUGGGCCGAUACUGACGCUGAGGAGCGAAAGCGUGGGGAGCAAACAGG